rnacentral:rRNA from 1 species
AACGUACGCUGGCGGCACGCCUAACACAUGCAAGUCGAACGAAGUAGCAAUACUUAGUGGCAGACGGGUGAGUAACAUGUAGGUAUCUGCCCUUUGGCCUGGAAUAACACGAGGAAACUUGUGCUAAUACCGGAUAAGUCUUUACGGAGAAAGCUUUAUGCACCAUUGGAUGAGCCUGCACUUGAUUAGUUUGUUGGUGGGGUGAUGGCCUACCAAGACUGUGAUCAAUAGCUGAUUUGAGAGGAUGAUCAGCCACAUUGGGACUGAGACACGGCCCAAACUCCUACGGGAGGCAGCAGUGGGGAAUCUUGCACAAUGGAGGAAACUCUGAUGCAGCGAUGCCGCGUGAGUGAAGAAGGCCCUUGGGUUGUAAAGCUCUUUCGUCGGGGAAGAAAAUGACUGUACCCGAAUAAGAAGGUCCGGCUAACUUCGUGCCAGCAGCCGCGGUAAUACGAAGGGACCUAGCGUAGUUCGGAAUUACUGGGCUUAAAGAGUUCGUAGGUGGUUGAAAAAGUUAGUGGUGAAAUCCCAGAGCUUAACUCUGGAACUGCCAUUAAAACUUUUCAGCUAGAGUAUGAUAGAGGAAAGCAGAAUUUCUAGUGUAGAGGUGAAAUUCGUAGAUAUUAGAAAGAAUACCAAUUGCGAAGGCAGCUUUCUGGAUCAUUACUGACACUGAGGAACGAAAGCAUGGGUAGCGAAGAGGAUUAGAUACCCUCGUAGUCCAUGCCGUAAACGAUGUGUGUUAGACGUUGGAAAUUUAUUUUCAGUGUCGCAGGGAAACCGAUAAACACACCGCCUGGGGAGUACGACCGCAAGGUUAAAACUCAAAUGAAUUGACGGGGACCCGCACAAGUAGUGGAGCAUGUGGUUUAAUUCGAAGAUACGCGCAGAACCUUACCAACACUUGACAUGUUCGUCGCGACUCUAAGAGAUUAGAGUUUUCGGUUCGGCCGGACGAAACACAGGUGCUGCAUGGCUGUCGUCAGCUCGUGUCGUGAGAUGUUGGGUUAAGUCCCGCAACGAGCGCAACCCUCACUUUUAGUUGCCAUCAUUAAGUUGGGCACUCUGAAAGAACUGCCAGUGAUAAGCUGGAGGAAGGUGGGGAUGACGUCAAGUCCUCAUGGCCCUUACGUGUUGGGCUACACACGUGCUACAAUGGUAUCUACAACAGGAAGCAAGACUGCGAAGUUAAGCAAAUCCCUAAAAGAUACCUCAGUUCGGAUUGCACUCUGCAACUCGAGUGCAUGAAGCUGGAAUUACUAGUAAUCGUGGAUCAGCGUGCCACGGUGAAUGCGUUCCCGGGUCU